AAACGACUACAACCGCACGGACUAGGUUUUAAAUGAAAUCCAUUGGGAUUUCUACCUAAUGAUGGCGAGUCUGAGUAUAUGA
rfam:Bacillus sp. TS-2 DNA, contig: BspTS2nb05.